AAUGAAAUGUAAUAUGGCGACGAUGCCAUAAGAGUAUGGUUGCAGCAUGUCUGCAUUAUGUUAUAUCAAUGCUCAUAAAUUAGGAGCCAAAAUUCAAAGGAAUAAACAAAUAAAAGAUAGGACACUGUAAA